GCAGACACAUUCCAGCCAAUCAGCGGCAGACCCUCCCUCCCAGAUCCUCCCACCUCCUGGACAGCAUCCAUUGUGAAGCUGCAUUCUUAGUUAGCUGUCUAGGAGGUGGGAGGGUCUGGGAGGGAGGGUCUGCUGCUGAUUGGCUGGAAUGUGUCUG